AUUGAUAAACAGCCACGACCUCAACAUUUUUGUUGUUUUUUUGACAAAAGGUCACGUAGUGAUCAUUCAAUACCUUGAUCAUAAGAUUGGCUGUAGCAAUGAUUAUGUGUUUGGUCUUCAUUUAACGACUUUUUAGGUUUUUUUUUCCUCUGCAGGUUCAGUAUAAUCAGGAUAAGUAUGAUGCAAUGACGUUUAGAACUAAUAAAAAUCCCAAAUACUAAAGUGAUGCAUUAAUUUUGCAUUCUUUUUGUAUCUGUUUUAUCGGAUCAUUGCCAUCAACAUGGUUAUAUGAUAAUUAUUGCAUAUAAUAUACGGUAUAUAAUACUUGCAUCACUUAUAUAAGGAAUCAUAACCCUUUAAAAUAAAAUAAACCUGAUGUGGGUCUUGCAUCACUUCUCUUCAGUAAACCUUUUUGAUAGUUUAGCCCUGCAAAGUCCACCAGUUAAAGCAAAGCAGUCACGAUAAACAAUUAGGUUUCAUUACCCUUUUAGUAAACAGUUACUACUCUAAAUACCGAGCUUAAACGUCAGCAUUUGAAGGCAGCGUCAUUUCUGCCCCGCUGCUGAACUUCUCCUGAGCCUCUGCGAACCCACAGACUGAAAUCCGCAGAGCUGCAACAAGUAGUACAAAACAAACAUCUGAACACGUUAGCCUGCACUGUUACUCGUUCUUGUAGCAAAUUAAAACCCUCGAUUGAUGUAAAUAAAGCCACAAAGUUUUUCCUUAUACUGUCAUAUGGCUAAUUUAUUAAACUGACUUAUUUAACAAGUGAUUUUUUUUAAUGUGACUUCUUAGGAAGAUUGUUUUUUUCUUUCUUUCUUUCUUUAUUGUGUUACUUCACAUGUCAGUACUGACAGUGUUACCGACAUGUAAAAGAAAAAAAACUGUCACAUUUUGUUCCCAUGACUGGUUGAUGAUACUAUGGUGUUUUUCACAGUAUAUGCUAUAACGGAAUGUCCUGCACCAUCCACACGUACCAUAUGCACAUGUACAGGUAGUUUUCUGUGCUAUCCACCGGUAAAUUUCCAAUCAGUCUAUGUCUGAACUCUACCGGACUCUAGUGGUGAAAAUGUAGACUACAGUGCGCUUGGGCAACAAAAUUAAUUACAGGGAAUCUGGUGUUUCCUUGGGAAUUUUCCGUAAACCCCUUCAGACAUUUCCAGGUUGUUUUUCCAGUUCUGGAAAUUCUCAAAUGGCAUUCUAUAUUUAUAGUUAAGGACUUAACUCCUACUUGUUAAUAUGGUAUAUGCCUACCACAUAAUUUCUUGUUCCUUUUGUCACACUACAGUCCACCCCAUUGUAUCAGCUAAUAAACAACAUACUGCAGGAUAUUUAAUGGGUGAUCUGUACCUCUACAGCAGAGGUGGGCAAUUAAUUUUCCCAAGGGGCUCACUGGGAAACUGGGAUUGUUGUGGAGGGCCGUACCAACAAGCUUUUAAAGUGAUAAAAUUAAUACUGAGCAAAAUUGAGUUCAGCUUAUUAGUACUGCCCUCCACUACAGUCCCAGUUUCUCAUGUGGCCCCCUUGGGAAAGUUAAUUGCCCACCCCUGCGUAGUUACAUCAAGCAUCAACAACCUCUUACUGGAGUACAUCAAUUUGCAGCGCUUUCUAAGGCGAGACCUUUUCGAACGGGCAUGUUACCACAUGAAGCACAAAUGCACCCACACAAAGCAUAAAAUAAUAAGUCAUUUGUCACAUAGGAUAACUACAAAGGAUACAGAGAAAGAACACCUGCUGUCAUCCCAUUUUUUCCAUCGCAUUACCCACUGCUAUUAUUGCGCAAUAGACCUUGUUUUCGCUGCAGGUUUUAAUAGCUUUAAUGUAAUUUCCCGGCACUUCUCAGCUGCCACAUUAUGUUCCAUUUUGUUGUUGCAAUUAUCUGAUUCAAUACUGAUAAUAAGCCAAUUACAAUUUUAUUAAAGAGUCUCUGCAUAACAAUUCUUCUACCGGCACAUCAACUUGUGGAAUAUUCAACCAUGGAUAACUUUUAUGCAAAUUCCCUGCUGAGGGGGUCCAACUCUAUUAAAUUUUGCUCAUUCAUAAGCCACAUCCUUUCAGUCAUAUCUUUCAAAAGGAUAUUAGGUCUAUUUAAACAAGGACAGAAAAAAAAUUAGGAUGAUGUCUGAAUAAAAUAAUUCAAUUAUGAGUCCAAAGAUAUUUUCUGCAUGAUCACACAGACCUAAAGAAAGUGCAUUUAAAAUAUUAAAUAAUCCCAGACCUCUAACUUUUUAAAACUUUAAAAACCAAAUUCCUUUUUUUCCUUGUUUUUCUGAAAGAGGAGAAGAAGGAGUUGUGUUACAUAACAAAACAAUUAAAGUGGAAGGGCUGACUUCUGGUUGGACUAACAAGGCUUAGCAGAGAGCACAUUGACUGGGUAUUAGGGCCCAUCGUGCCUGUCGUCUCAGAUUUCGUGCUGCGACAGUUCAGCUGCCAGGUUUAAUAUCCAGCCCGCUUCGAGCAAUGAGAGACAGGUGAAUUACCCUGCCCAGCAGUGAUAGUCCCAUUUUGGACGAAGGAGUCACAGCGAAUGCCUUCAGCUGAGAUGCACAGAUAGGACCUACACAGUGGGGAGCCUUCCAGCACAGUAUAACCAAUGACCCGCAUUAGGGUCAUGGAGGACUGGCGCUUGUAUCAGCUAACACAGAGAGACAGCCAACCACUCACACACCUACAGCCAAUUUGGAGUUACCGGUUAACUUAAUGUGGAUGUGUUUGGACUGUGGGAGAAAGCCAGAGUACCUGGAGAGUACCCAAACAGACACAGGGAGGGCCCCAGCCAGCCAGUGUAAUCAAACCCAGGACCUUCUUGGUGUGAGGUGAUGUGCUAACCACCAUGCUGCCCAGGACUCAAAUUAAUGAUGCAAUUACAGUAAGACAGGAGCUCCAACAUAUAAGGUGAAAGUCGUUGUGGUGAUGUGCUCAAAAUGAGGGAAAUACUUUAUAAAGCAUUAAUUAAACUAAAUGUUAAAGCACCACUUAGGUGUGAUGGGUAGCAGAUGUUGGAGAUGCUCAUAUAAACCUAUUUCACACAUAUAUUCAAUUAAAUAACUGUUUAAUGUGCAAAACAACAUAAUAAUUUCUCAAUCUUGUGUUGCAUAACAGUUUGCUGUAAGUUCUUUGACCAAAAUGAGUUUCUUUCAUGCUUCUUCAUAACACAGAUGCUGCUGUUUUUCCAUUUGCAUGACAGGGGGAGAAAUGUUGGGAAAAUGCAGGGAUUUUAAAUUACACCUCCACCCCGAGUACUCAAAAAUGUUUACUAGAGAGCACCAAAGUGCAGUCAGUAAAGGAAAACACCGUCUGUUGCCAAACUCCCAAUGUCCAGUUACUUCAAAAAUAGAACAUGUGAUUGGUCCUUGUGCUGUAACCUUUCCUGCGUCCUGGAAGGAAGGGCUUUACGACCUGCUGAGGUUCAGAGAAGAAACUGUUUUCCUAGAGUCUUUAAGAGCAGUUCUCAGCAUUGGGAUGUGGCAACACCCUUGUUUAACUUUGUUUGAUGCUACCUCCAUGCCUUGCAGGCUUAAAGACAUUUUAAAAGGUUUGUGUAAGUGUGUGUGUAGGGGUGUGCAGGUGUGUUUUUGUUAGGCUGUACACAGUUGUGCUUCCUUCAAGGUCAGAAAAGGUGAGAUCUUAGGUGAUUCUUAAUUUUACUGCUUUUCAGUCUUUUUUCUGUGCAGUUGUGACUAUAUGUAUCUGUGUGUGUGUGUGUGUGUGUGUGUGUGUGUGUGUGUGUGUGUGUGUGUGUAAGCAGUCAGGGUACAUCAUGCACUCAACCUGCAUGUGAACAGUACCCAGAGAAAAUAAGAUAAGACAGUGAUAAACCUGGCUCAGACCCACUCCACAAAAGCACUGUUGGGCUGCAUUGUGUAGCCAACUGUUGUUGUAUCCCACAUUGCGUCAGUGUGAGAUACAAACAUGUAAGAUUAUGGAACAGCUAUGCAUGGAGAAACCAGUCGAUUUAACGUUUGAAUUAAUCUAAAUUAAAGCCAGCGUACUCCAGCCCUUUUAACUACUUCAGAACAAAUGUGUGAAAAAUGUGAAAAUUCCCAAGAACUUACAAAGGCCUUUUUUUUUCAGUUUGGAUACAGUUUGGAUACAUAAGGAUGUUCUUUUGGCUUUUACACACACGCACAAACACAAACAUACAUACAAUACCUCUUGAAUUUCAGACAAACUAUUUGUUUCUGCUGAUCUUUCUUUCAAACUUAAACUUGGCCCUCAGCAGCAGGGUGGGUUCCCACAGUCUCACUUUUCAUGCAGAGAUUAGAAAGAGACUGGGAUUCCCAUGCUAAUGAAAAUAGGGCAGAAUGAAAAUUUUACCACCCCCCAGCCAGCAGCCUGUUUCGCUCAGCCUGAGUGAUGUGGAGAGCACAACUCUACCAACGCCUUCAUUUCAGCUUCCCUCUAUCUACAUUCUGUUCCUUUACUAACUUGCUGUACAACAAGAUGUUUUUGAAUCACAGUGCACCCUGGCUAUCAAGCAUUAUACGGGCUAUAUUACAGUUUAAUGUCUACUUAAAUUGUAUAAUUAUUAUAUUGACUGCCUGCGAUACUGUGACUCACACUUAAGUGCAGAGCUGUGUGUGUGUGUGUGAGUGUGUGAUGGCAAGUGUUGACAGGCUUCCUUAUUAUCUAAUUAGGCGCCAUAGUCAUGGUCCAAACAGAUAAGGCACGGAGCGCAAGCCAUGGUCACUCCGCACACCCCCCGCCCAUCAGCACACUUAUGUAAUUCCUAUAACUGCUAUCUAAAAUAACUAAGAUGAGGAAUGAAAGAAUGAAGAAAAUGACAGAGGGAAUAAACAAGAAUAAAUAGGGAAGAGACGCAUCAAAUAAAACAGGCAUCAACAAAGACAGCUGCACAAACUCAAGAAUGACUGAAGAAACAACUUUAAUGGGUGGGUGGAACUGUUUUUAAAUUCUUCCUGUUAUUAGUCACUAUGAAAGGACAGCGAUUCCUGUGGUUCUUCUCUGUUUUCCCUAAAAUACCUAGGAAUAUGUUUUUAAACCAUAUUAAUGUGGCGAUGCUAAGCUUCCUGGCACUUAUUACACAUAUUUUUUUUAAUGAAAACAAAACACUGUCUGUAUAUUUGGUCCUUGGAUAUUGGAUAGUUGGUGAUUUAUAACUGCAGCAUCAUUGCGAUCAUGAUCUAAGCAAGUCAAAGAACAAUUCCAGUGGUUUUACACAGUAAAUCACAUCUGGUUACAGUUUACAUCACUGACAGGCAUUUCAUAACUAAUGAAGCUUGUGCUGUCAUUUUAAAAUUGCUUUUUCAUUCUUUUCAUUUGUGUUACAUCAGAAUGCUCAGAGCCUGACACAGACUUGAAACUCACCCAGUAUAGUUGAUUUCUAAAAUUAAUAGAUAUAAUUCCUUUUUAGACUAUCUUUCAGUCACUGAUCUUGAUCUGAGUCAGAUGACAGUAUGCGUUACUUAUAGAUUUCUAAUCCAAUAUCUGGUACAUGCUGUAUCUACACUCUGUGACACACAGGACAAAGAAGCUUAGCUGGAUUUUGCUGUGGUGAUGUGUCACCCAGCAGCAUAAUGCUAUGGGUCAUCUCAGUGUACUGCAGUCUGCACGUGGAUAAUGCUAUGGGUCACCUUUGCGCCCUCCAUUGCCAGGGUGCUUAUGUGUGCGUGUGUUUGUGCUGUUAGAGUGCCUUGUGUCUCAGUUCUGUGGAAAAUCUGAAGCAAUCAGUUAGACAGCAGCCUCAGGACACCUGUUUGCCAAAUGUUGAAAAGUCUUCAGACUCACUCACUGACAGGAAGCAUAUUUAUUCACACAAAAACGAAACGCUUUUUAUUUAUUCCAAUAUCAGUCUCCAGGUUCUUUGCAUUAAGAGAGACUUUUGCAGCAAGCAAAACUCAAUGAACAGAAAGAUAUCAUAAUAAACAUCUGAUACACAUCCUAUGUUUGUAUUGUUGCUAAGGACAACUGAAGAUGAAACCACAGCAGUGUUGGUAAAGAAAGGCCCGCGCAGCAGAGGUUGCAUCAACCUGUGGUGCAGGGUGUGUCUGUGGAUUUCUGAGUUAACAAACACUGAUCUCUCUCUGCUGAAAGUGUUGGCAGUGAUGGAAUUUAUUGCACGCGUUUAUGUGUGUUUGUCUGCCUAUUCUGGGAGUUGCAUGCAUACUUCACUGUGUGCAGUUUUCACAAGGAUUAGCAACUUGAUUAUCAUUUUUAAUAGAGCAUUGUCAUUUAUUUUAUAUGGGCAGACACACGCACACACACUUGCAAACAAACCACUCAGUGAUGGUUCCAGACCUUCUCUGGCAGAGCACCCAAGGCAGCCUAACAACACAGUAAGGUAGUAAGUUGAGAGGUCCAUUAAAAAGUCAUUAUUGUCCAUUUCUCUCUAACCUGGUCCAUCAAUAAAGAAAUCACAGGUUAAAACAUUUUUCCAAUGUGUGUGAGAAAAUCUGCUGGUAUCCAAUACUGUGUCUCUAUCUUAUGUUCCCAGAAUUGCUUAUUUGCUUCCAAGACAUGAGUGGUCAAAGUCUAUGUUAUAGAGGAAACCCAUAAAACGAUAGUAAAACAAAGAUGUUUUUUUUAAUUUCCCUUUAUUUUGUUCAAUUAUUAAUAACUUCCUGUAGCUACAGAAAAACAGUGUUACCUCUCCUACGACAGCUGCACUCCGCCUAUAUCUUAUAUCCACUAAAUGUCAACAGCACUGCUAUUCUUAGCUAACCAUGUUUUGUCUUAGCCCCAGAUGCCUGUCUGACAACCUACUUCAGACUCUUUCUCUUCCUUUAGCUCUCCCUGCCAUCACUUCUGCACCCUGCAUUUGUUCGAGAUUUGAUUGGUGAUUUGUGAGACUUUUGGUUUGUUGCAAAAAAAAUGUUAAAUUUCAUUAGAAUUUCUGUAAUUAGCAAAUCUUUAAUGUGGGCAAUACAAGGACAGUUAUCUCCAGCAAUUCAUACACUAUAUCUAUCUGUCUAUUAUACCUUCAUGGAAUUUCUCUGUAGCAGUGAAAGAAAUGUAAAAUUAGAUCUUAAAUACUGUUACAGCAGCUUGUUUCACUCUGAUCAUGAGGCCUGUUACAGCUUGUAACUGUUUAUAAGACAAAUAUGUGUUCUAGGUUCAAAAUUUCCCCCAAUAUAAUAGUGAACUGGUAAAUGGCAUUAUCUACACCACCACAGAGAAAAGAGAAGAAACACUUUUUUUCUUUACCUCAUUCUACAUCCUCAACAUUGCUAACUCAGCUCUGUGGUUCUACAUCACCACAAUAUUAUCUGCAGAAUAAAUGUAAACACGCAGGCUUUGCAAUAAGAAGGUACCUUUUUAUUGCAAAGCCUGCAGAUGAAAAUUUAUUAAAUAAUUUGACUUGUCUUGAUGUUUAAAUGUCAUUCAGCACCUCAUCCUCUUUUCCCACCUCCUUAUGUUGCUUAUGUCCCACCUCUUUAUGUUGCUUAUGUCCCACCUCCUUAUGUUGCUUAUGUCCCACCUCCUUAUGUUGUUGUAACACAGUUAUUGUGUCAUGUAUGUGUAUGUCAUGCAUCUGACAUAAACAUCACAUUUCAAUCAUGUCUUUAAAGAAGCACAAUAAAAACAGAGCAUGGUCACAGUG